rnacentral:rRNA from 1 species
AUGUCGUCACAGGAAAGCGACAUCGUCUCCGCCUCCACCAUCUCCACUACGGCGACCACCGGCGGCUGCCACCUGCUCAAAAUCGCCGGCUACUCGCAGAGCAAGCAGCUCCGCAAUGGCGCGAAGCUGCGAUCAUGCGAGUUCGAGGCAGCCGGGUGCUCGUGGUGCAUCGUGUACUACCCACGACCCUUGAAAAACACCGAGUACGUCGCCCUCGCCCUCAAGCUCACCACCGAGCGCGUCAGCCAGCCGAUCAACGCCACCGUCCGGCUCACGCUGGUCCCUCACCACGGCAAGCCGGCGCCGGCCACGCCGCACUAUCUUAGCCACCGAUCGAGCUUCGAUCACACGGGCGAUUUCUGGUUCUACCCGCUCAUCACAAGGGAGGAGCUGGAGAGCUCCGAGUACCUCGUGGACGACUGCUUCUCCGUCCGGUGCGACAUACAUGUCAUCAGCACGUCGGCGGUGGCGGACGAGGUCGUGCAGGCGCAUGACCUGGAGAGGAUGGGGCUGGCCUGCGCCUGCACGGACGAGCUUUGCACGCGCCGCCACGCGUCAAGCUGGGCCUUGGAGAAGGAGAAGCCUUACGCCUCGGCGUCCACGACGUCGGUGCAACGCCGGUCCGCGACGUCGGUGCAGGGCCGCAUUAAAUCAAUCUGGUUUCGCCUCUUCGGCCCCAUUCUGUUGGAGAUUUGCUUUCCAGAUCAAACGGCUGGUUUGUCGGGCGGUGAAACCUCAUACGGCGACGUGGAUGGGCCAUGCAUUUGGAGCGCUGCGAUGGCCAAGCCGAUCGAGGCCGGCAGCGACUUCGAGUGCCUCUUCUCCCCCUACGCUGACGCUGGGCCGCCCUCGCUCCUCUCCGUCGGCCUGCCCGCAGCGGCCACGGAGACCGCGAGCUCGCAACCUUCCAAUCUGCGCGCCAGUGCCCUGCGAUCCGGUGUCACGUCGUCGCCAUCUCGAUCAAACAUUCGCCCAGGCCGCUGGCGCCUUUUCUUCCAUCACCACCGGAGGUCUUUGCCCCGCGUCGUAGAGGUGCUACCUCGCCUAAGCCGUUGUGAGGAGGCGCCCCUGCUCCUCCCCCCUCCGCGUUGUGUCAACCACAGGAUGGUGCCCUCCCACCUCAACGAGGUGUGCGCUUUGCUCGGGACUGCGAGUUCAUCGUCGACAACCGCGACGGGAACGUGCAGUACAACCGGUACUACGGCUGCGACCCCGCCGACCUCGACUUAUACUGGACGCUGUGAACUCUAUCGGGGAGCCCUCUGCUACUAUCUCCGGGAGGGCGUGCCGGACCUCGAUGAGGUAUACGGCGUGCUCGACAGGGCCUGGUCCAAGCCGCAUGAGGAGACAGCCCUCCGCGGGAUCCAAUCGUUGCAGCGUCCUCGAUCUCAGCGGCGGCACCUAGCGCUGCGGGACAGCCCGCUGAUGUGCCUCUGUGCGCAGUGCACCGGCCGGCCGCGCCUCGGCCUACCGUGGGCAUGGCGAGUACACAACGGUUGUCUCUUCCUCACUCUCUACGACGUGCGGCCUGCCGUCCGUGCUGUGUUGUUUGCGUGUGCUGCUUGUGCGCUCCUGCUGUGUCGCGCGCGUGUGUGCGUCCGUGUGCUUGCUGCGUUGCCGGCGUCCGUGCUCUGUAGUUGUAUGCGCUGUGGACGACGAUGUCGCCCCUCUCGCUGCCAACGUACAACCAUAGAAGCCUCUCUUGCCGAAAGCAGCACUGGCAGGCUGUACAUCUUUGUAUUUAUUUACUUAUACGAGCUCAAAGUCACCGCUGCUCUGAAAUGCAGGGUUGGGACUAUACAUGUCUUGCCCUGCGCCGUGUCUUCUGUGGUAGAGAGGUUUCUAAUUUGGCAAAGUUCGGGUACCGGAAUCCUGAAGCGAAACAGCAAUUGCCUUGGUAACUUUGUUGGCCAGUACUAUGUUGUUUUCAAACAGAUAGGAAAUAUGUAUGAGUGCUCAGGAUGUGCAUGUGUUGGAUUCAAUACAUUGCGGCCCCAAAUAGUUUCCCCGUCUUCAGUUUAG